rnacentral:tRNA from 2 species
GAUCUUGUAGUUUAUAAAAAUAUUAAAUUGCAAAUUUAAAGUUGAUUAUUUUUUCUAAGAUUU